rnacentral:rRNA from 1 species
GACAGAGGGUGCGAACGUUGUUCGGAAUCACUGGGCUUAAAGGGCGCGUAGGCGGGUGUGCAAGUCUGUGGUGAAAGCCUCCAGCUUAACUGGAGAAGUGCCGUGGAUACUGCGCAUCUUGAGGAGGGUAGGGGCAUCUGGAACGGUCGGUGGAGCGGUGAAAUGCGUUGAUAUCGACCGGAACUCCGGUGGCGAAGGCGAGGUGCUGGACCCUUUCUGACGCUGAGGCGCGAAAGCCAGGGGAGCAAACGGG